rnacentral:rRNA from 1 species
GAUGAACGCUAGCGGCAGGCCUAAUACAUGCAAGUCGAACGGGAUCCAGAUCAAAGCUUGCUUUGGUUUGGUGAGAGUGGCGCACGGGUGCGUAACGCGUGAGCAACCUACCCUUGUCAGGGGGAUAGCCCGGCGAAAGUCGGAUUAAUACCGCAUGACAUCAUUGAGAGGCAUCUUUCGAUGAUCAAAGAUUUAUCGGACAAGGAUGGGCUCGCGUGACAUUAGCUAGUUGGUAAGGUAACGGCUUACCAAGGCUACGAUGUCUAGGGGCUCUGAGAGGAGCAGCCCCCACACGGGUACUGGGACACGGACCAGACUCCUACGGGAGGCAGCAGUAAGGAAUAUUGGUCAAUGGACGGAAGUCUGAACCAGCCAUGCCGCGUGCAGGAAGGCGGCCCUAUGGGUUGUAAACUGCUUUUAUACGGGAACAAACGUCGGUACGUGUACCGGUCUGAGUGUACCGGAAGAAUAAGGAUCGGCUAACUCCGUG